GACGAACGCUGGCGGCGUGCUUAACACAUGCAAGUCGAACGGAAAGGCCCUGCUUUUGUGGGGUGCUCGAGUGGCGAACGGGUGAGUAACACGUGAGUAACCUGCCCUUGACUUUGGGAUAACUUCAGGAAACUGGGGCUAAUACCGGAUAGGAGCUCCUGCUGCAUGGUGGGGGUUGGAAAGUUUCGGCGGUUGGGGAUGGACUCGCGGCUUAUCAGCUUGUUGGUGGGGUAGUGGCUUACCAAGGAUUUGACGGGUAGCCGGCCUGGGAGGGUGACCGGCCACAUUGGGACUGAGAUACGGCCCAGACUCCUACGGGAGGCAGCAGUGGGGAAUAUUGCACAAUGGGCGGAAGCCUGAUGCAGCAACGCAGCGUGCGGGAUGACGGCCUUCGGGUUGUAAACCGCUUUCGCCUGUGACGAAGCGUGAGUGACGGUAAUGGGUAAAGAAGCACCGGCUAACUACGUG
rnacentral:rRNA from 1 species